UCUACACCAUAUGCGUUUCAUCCCUUAACAGUAAACCGAUCCUUCUCAAUAUUUGCCCCCAAAACGCUUUUGGAUCUCUCUCAGAGCGAAGAGUACUGCUUUGGUUUGUUUGUUGAUCCACAGUUAUUAGCGCAGAGAGGAGCUGUUGCUUGCGAUUUGCGAAUUUGGAUUUGGAUCAAGAUUCUAUGCGAAAGAGUUUACGCGUCAUUCUGCUGCCACUGUUCCUUUGUCUAUUGGUUAAUACUAUCUUGAUUUGUUACUCUUAUUCAGAUUCUGGGAACAGUGUGCUGGCAAAUUGUUUAACCGUUUUAAAUUCAGAGUAUGGUUAGGGGUAUAAUUUGAAGACCGGCAACUUGGUAGAGACAUCAUGCGAAAUCGACCAGGUUAUUUUUGGCAACCAGAUUAGGCAUUUGUUGUAACUAAGUUAGCCUAUAAGUAGAACAUGUUAUUUUUGGCAAGCUGUUUCGACAGCAACUGUAAAUCUGUAUUUCA